UUUAAUAUUCAUAAUAAAGGCAUACCUUUUUAAAUACACAACAGAAUUCUAAAUACUGCAAAGCAUUCCCAACAUAUUCUGGUGUGAACUCGAUGUCCAGUAUUUUGUCAUCUCAAUGCCAGUGGGAAAAGGAAUUUCUUUCUUAAUAUUUUGUACAUAGAAAAUUGUUGAAUUUAUUUGAGACUCGGCACAUUGUCACCAUCACCUAUAACAACAGUUGCAUGACACUUUUUCUCAUGCAUUAGUUAGAAUUAUGUAAAAUCAUUAGCAUUAGGACCAUGAAUCUUACCAUGAUUCUCCCCCAC
rnacentral:lncRNA from 1 species